rnacentral:rRNA from 1 species
AAUAGAUACCCUGGUAGUCCAUGCCGUAAACGAUGUCUACUAGCCGUUGGGGCCCUUGAGGCUUUAGUGGCGCAGCUAACGCGAUAAGUAGACCGCCUGGGGAGUACGGUCGCAAGACUAAAACUCAAAUGAAUUGACGGGGGCCCGCACAAGCGGUGGAGCAUGUGGUUUAAUUCGAUGCAACGCGAAGAACCUUACCUGGCCUUGACAUACAGAGGACUUUCCAGAGAUGGAUUGGUGCCUUCGGGAACUCUGAUACAGGUGCUGCAUGGCUGUCGUCAGCUCGUGUCGUGAGAUGUUGGGUUAAGUCCCGCAACGAGCGCAACCCUUUUCCUUAUUUGCCAGCACUUCGGGUGGGAACUUUAAGGAUACUGCCAGUGACAAACUGGAGGAAGGCGGGGACGACGUCAAGUCAUCAUGGCCCUUACGGCCAGGGCUACACACGUGCUACAAUGGUCGGUACAAAGGGUUGCUACUGCGCGAGCAGAUGCUAAUCUCAAAAAGCCGAUCGUAGUCCGGAUCGC